UCUUAAAACAGUAUUCGACACGCUUCACAUUUGAUCAUUUUUUAUUUUUUAUUUUUUAUAAGUUAUUUACAAUUUUUACUCUCAAAAUUUUUAUUAAUUUUUUUAAAUCAUAUCUGAAAUUUUAAGUAUAGUUGCAACACGUACAAGUAUAACAGCAAACAUCGUAUCAAGAAACAUAAAUGUUCUGGAAAGAAUAAUGGCAAAUGUAGAUAUAUAAGACUCGAUAUUACACACCAAAACUCACAAUAUGAUGCAUUAACGAUUCGAAAAAUAUUUUUUGAAAGAAACAAUGAUGCCCUC
rnacentral:lncRNA from 1 species